rnacentral:misc_RNA from 1 species
GAAAUGCGAUACUUGGUGUGAAUUGCAGAAUCCCGUGAACCAUCGAAUCUUUGAACGCACAUUGCGCCCGCCAGUAUUCUGGCGGGCAUGCCUGUUCGAGCGUCAUUUCAACCCUCAAGCCCUCGGGUUUGGUGUUGGGGAUCGGCUUGCCAGAAAGGCUCGCC